GGCGAGAUGUCAGGCGCUGUGAGGUGAGGCUCUCGCAAACUUUACAGUAAUUCUCAGAUCAGUAUAUAUUUCUUGACUUCCUGCUUUCGCUACAUUACGCCAAAUCCGAGUUGAAUGCAAGGGCCUUGAACUGAAUCUAGAGCUUUCAUAAAGACACUCCAAGACAUUUACCUGCUUUGUUCAGCUGCAGCAAUCGCCAUUUGUUUCCUAUCAUCUGGCAGUUCCUUUGAUCUUAUCGAACAGCCAUUCGCAGGGAAUUGGUGGCAACUUUUAAACCAUCCAGAUGCAAUUAAGCUUCUCAGACAGAAACCAAAA